UUUGUACUACCAAAGUUGGAACAAAUAACUAAUAUAUUGGAUGAUAAGCAAUCAAAAUUGGCUACUCCCACCUCUUCUCCUGACCCAAUAUUUACAG
rnacentral:lncRNA from 1 species